AAUGGGGGCAACCCUGAUCCAGCCAUGCCGCGUGAGUGAAGAAGGCCCUAGGGUUGUAAAGCUCUUUCGCCAGGGAAGAUAGUGACGGUACCUGGUAAAGAAGUCCCGGCUAACUCCGUGCCAGCAGCCGCGGUAAUACGGAGGGGACUAGCGUUGUUCGGAAUUACUGGGCGUAAAGAGUACGUAGGCGGCUUGCCAAGUUGGGUGUGAAAGCCCGGGGCUCAACCCCGGAACCGCAUUCAAAACUGGUUGGCUAGAGAUCGGAAGAGGUAAGUGGAAUUCCCAGUGUAGAGGUGAAAUUCGUAGAUAUUGGGAAGAACACCGGUGGCGAAGGCGACUUACUGGUCCGAUACUGACGCUGAGGUACGAAAGCGUGGGGAGCAAACAGGAUU
rnacentral:rRNA from 1 species